rnacentral:rRNA from 1 species
AGUGAACGCUGGCGGCAGGCCUAAUACAUGCAAGUCGAACGGCAGCACAGCAGAGCUUGCUCUGUGGGUGGCGAGUGGCGGACGGGUGAGGAAUACGUGGGAAUCUGCCCAGUCGUGGGGGAUAACGUAGGGAAACUUACGCUAAUACCGCAUGCGCCCUUCGGGGGAAAGCCGGGGGACCCUUCGGGCCUGGCGCGAUUGGAUGAGCCCACGUCGGAUUAGCUAGUUGGCGGGGUAAAGGCCCACCAAGGCGACGAUCCGUAGCUGGUCUGAGAGGAUGAUCAGCCACACUGGAACUGAGACACGGUCCAGACUCCUACGGGAGGCAGCAGUAGGGAAUAUUGGACAAAUGGGGCGCAAGCCUGAUCCAGCCAUGCCGCGUGAGUGAAGAAGGCCCUCGGGUUGUAAAGCUCUUUUGUCCGGUAAAGAAAAGCGCCGGGUUAAUACCCUGGUGUCCUGACGGUACCGGAAGAAUAAGCACCGGCUAACUUCGUGUCCAGCAGCCGCGGUAAU